GAUGAACGCUGGCGGCGUGCCUAAUACAUGCAAGUCGAGCGAACAGACGAGGAGCUUGCUCCUCUGACGUUAGCGGCGGACGGGUGAGUAACACGUGGAUAACCUACCUAUAAGACUGGGAUAACUUCGGGAAACCGGAGCUAAUACCGGAUAAUAUAUUGAACCGCAUGGUUCAAUAGUGAACGACGGUUUUGCUGUCACUUAUAGAUGGAUCCGCGCCGCAUUAGCUAGUUGGUAAGGUAACGGCUUACCAAGGCAACGAUGCGUAGCCGACCUGAGAGGGUGAUCAGCCACACUGGAACUGAGACACGGUCCAGACUCCUACGGGAGGCAGCAGUAGGGAAUCUUCCGCAAUGGGCGAAAGCCUGACGGAGCAACGCCGCGUGAGUGAUGAAGGUCUUCGGAUCGUAAAACACUGUUAUUAGGGAAGAACAAAUGUGUAAGUAACUAUGCACGUCUUGACGGUACCUAAUCAGAAAGCCACGGCUAACUACGUG
rnacentral:rRNA from 1 species